GAUUACCAUGAUUAUAUGGAUUUUCAGUUACUUACCUUUGGCAUUUUCUUGGAUGCAUUUAAUUCUUUUUUCCUUUUGAAAUUUCACUUUGUCAAAUCUCAAUAAACAACUUUUCUAGCAAAAGUAUUCUAUCUUUUUCACAAUUUGAAGACAAAAUGUCAGGGUGGUGCUUUAACAGUCAGUUCAACAAUUCAAUUCAAUCAUGAAUUACUUCUUGUUAGAAAGUUAGUGCACUUGCUUUAGUUUCUGAUUGCAGAUGUAUCACAAUUAAAAAAUAUGAAAGAUGAUUAAUUAUUGAAAGAUUUUGCUAGAAGAACUUUACAAUACAUAGAUCAUCAUCGGAAACAAGGAAAGGAUGGUGAAAGGGAAAUUUGUCCACGUGAAAAUAAUAAUGCUUCUCUAGCAAAUAUUUACUUGAAUGAAGAAUUGAAACUUAAGGGAAGGAAAAAAAUAUAUAUAUACAGUUUCUUUUAAAAAGAUAAGAUAAGAUGCAGCUAAGUACAAACUGGAUUUCUUUAGAAAACUGUUUUCUUAAAUGAUUAGCCUUUGAAUUGUGUGUGAUUCUAGAGUUUCAACUGUGGUCACACUUUUCAAAUAAUUCUGAUGUAUAUGUGCUUGUCAAGGAGUGCAUUGGAUAGUCUUUCGGAACAAGGGGAUUAGGUCACUCAAUACGGUUAUUUGCCUUUAAAAAUAUGGUGGCAUGUUACACGAGUUGGAAAGAAUGUAUCAUUCUGCUGAAAGAUUUUCUUCUAGUAUUUGUAAUUCCUGUAAAUAGAUUCAGAUCAGACUCCUUGUGGGAAGGUGGGAGUGACAACAGAAAGCAUCAUUUAGUGAAAUGGUCGGCAGCCAUGAAAGACAAAACAGAAGGUGGUAGGGGGGAGCUAGAAAAUUGAAAAUACACAACAAAAUUUUAUUAUAGAAAUGGCACCUGAGGUUUAAUGAUGGAAAAGACUGGAAGAAAGUUAUGAUUGUAAAAUAUAUGAGAUGGAAUCUCCCUAGUACACAAAGCCGGUGAAGGCUCCUUAUGGAGUAGCUAUAUGGAAGUAAAGUCAAAGUUGCUGGGAAAUAGAAGAAAUAUCAGACUUUGGCUGGAUAAAUACUGCCUUGGGGGAUGUUUUUCCAGAUUUAUAUUAACUCGUCAUUUACAAAACUUGUUACACGCUGCUUUUCUGAAGGUGGAUGGAAUCUUCUUUCCGGAAGAAAUUUCAAUGAUUAGGAGAUUGGGAAUGUGAGUUGCUUAGUACAAAAAUUGAGCACGGUAUUCUUGUAUAGUUGGUGUAAAAGGUGUAGCAGCUGAUUUUGUUGAUAUCCUGGUUCUUUUGGACUACUUACAGGCAGAAGUAGAAGACUGGUACUGUUUGUAAAGUAUAAGGCUUCAAUAAUGGAGAUGAUAGCAGGAAGGAGAACAAGGUGAGCUCAGAUACGCCAUCGAUGAGAGGAGGAGAAAAGGAAAAAUUUAAGGCAUCUGAUGAUCGAGAAGGGGAUGUUGACUCCUCCUCAUUAUGAAGAAGGGUGGGUUCCAAAGAGAACUGCACCAACCAAAGCUUUGACGAUUUUUGUUUUCCGCCAGACCACCGUCUUGACCUUCGAUCGUGCCACAAACACGGGCAGAUAGGUGGUUACAUGGAGGGCCUGCCUUUCCAGUCAAUCUCCGGCAGCUCAUUGUUCUCUAUUGGAAAUUUUCAAAGGUGAACUAACAGGAAGAAAGUCAUCGCAUCUACAAGCGAAGAUAUAACACAUCAGAUGAAAUGUGAAUCCAAAAGAAAGCUAGUAAAAGGGAGUGGGCUCGCGCACGUGAGAAAUGCUCUUGAAGGCAAAACUAGUCGAUUUGCCCCUCAUGCAUACAAGAUACAUCUGGGGCCUAGUUCAAAUCUAGUUGCCCAAAAAUUAUUUUUGACAUUUGAGCAUACCGGAAAAGUGUCUAAGUACAUAUGUUUACAAGGAUAUGUCCAGAUAUAUUCCCUAUGAGAUUAAUUAUGUUGUAAUUCUAGAAUUAUAACCUUUGGUCUUUUAUGAGAAUUAGUCAGCCCCAUAGCGUUCAUAUUUUCUCCACUCCUAAAUAUUGGUUCCUUUGAGAGAGACCACUACAUAAACUUUCUUCUUCUCUAUUCUGAUCUUUGCCUGUUUUUUUACUCUGAAAUCUUUGUUGUUUUUCUUGAUUUA